rnacentral:rRNA from 1 species
GUCAAGAAUCUUCCUCAAUGGACGAAAGUCUGAAGGAGCGACGCCGCGUGUAUGAAGAAGCCUUUCGGGGUGUAAAGUACUUUUAACUGUGACAAAACAAUGAUGGUAGCAGUUGAAUAAGGGGCUGCUAACCUCGUGCCAGCAGCAGCGGUAAUACGAGGGCCCCAAGCAUUAUCCGGAUUUAUUGGGCGUAAAGCGUCCGUAGGUGGUUUAUCGCAUCUCCUGUUAAAUCUCGAGGCUCAACCUCGAGUCCGCGGGAGAGAUGGACAAACUAGAGAUUGGAAGAGGCAAACGGAAUUGCUGGUGUAGGGGUUAAAUCCAUUAAUAUCAGCAAGAACACCAAAUGCGAAGGCAGUUUGCUAGGACAAAUCUGACACUCAGUGGACGAAAGCGUGGGGAGCGAAUGGGAUUAGAAACCCUAGUAGUCC